AUCAGCCACACUGGGACUGAGACACGGCCCACCCUCCUACGGGAGGCAGCAGUGGGGAAUAUUGGACAAUGGGGGCAACCCUGAUCCAGCAGUGCCGCGUGUGUGAAGAAGGCCUUCGGGUUGUAAAGCACUUUUAUCCGGAACGAAACGCGCUUGGUCAAUAGCCAGGUGAACUGACGGUACCGGAGGAAUAAGCACCGGCUAACUUCGUGCCAGCAGCCGCGGUAAUACGAAGGGUGCAAGCGUUACUCGGAAUUACUGGGCGUAAAGCGUGCGUAGGUGGUUUGUUAAGUCUGUUGUGAAAGCCCCGGGCUCAACCUGGGAAUGGCAAUGGAUACUGGCAAGCUAGAGUGCGGUAGAGGGGUGUGGAAUUCCCGGUGUAGCGGUGAAAUGCGUAGAGAUCGGGAGGAACACCAGUGGCGAAGGCGGCACCCUGGACCAGCACUGACACUGAGGCACGAAAGCGUGGGGAGCAAACAGGAUUAGAUACCCUGGUAGUCCACGCCCUAAACGAUGCGAACUGGACGUUGGGAGCAACUUGGCUCUCAGUGUCGAAGCUAACGCGUUAAGUUCGCCGCCUGGGGAGUACGGUCGCAAGACUGAAACUCAAAGGAAUUGACGGGGGCCCGCACAAGCGGUGGAGUAUGUGGUUUAAUUCGAUGCAACGCGCAGAACCUUACCUGGUCUUGACAUGUCGCGAACUGCCCACCGAUGGGCGGGUGC
rnacentral:rRNA from 1 species